rnacentral:tRNA from 2 species
CGGGGUGUAGCUCAGCCUGGUAGAGCACACGGUUUGGGGCCGUGGGGUCCCCGGUUCGAAUCCGGGCACCCCGACCA